CCAGAAUGAAGAAAAAAGGUCUUUCAGUGACCAAAUCAAUUAGUCAGAAGAACUUCAAACUCUUUCUUCAGGUAUGCAGAAAGCAAUGGACAGAGUUCAGAGCUCAGAUGCAAUGCAGAGUCAUUAAUUUCUUCUACAGGACCCAGAAGAGACCUCUGAUCAUAUGAUGUACCCUAUGCAUACAUUUGGUGCCUACCAUUGCACUGCAAUACUACCCAUAGUGGGAAAGCAAAGUUCUGGAGAAAGAGAAAGCAGUACAGAGAGCACAGAACAACUAGGACACUGCAACUUUAUCUGAUGUCUUUCUUUGAGGGCUGCUCCACAGACCCAUCAGACCUGCAUGCCUUCCUCAACUGCUGAUAAAGUGGAAACCAGCCUGCUGGAUGAUGUAUGAAUGUCCCAGCUACACAGGCCAUCAAUAUUUCCUGAAAGUGGAAUCUCUCUGGACUGCCAGCACUGUGUGGGCAUCAAUGUCAAAACAAAACAAAACAAAACAAAAAGAAAACAAACAAAAAACCCAAACAAAAACCCAAACAAACAAAACACCAAAACAACAACAACAACAAACUUUCAGACCUUAGAGAAAAAAAAUUCUUCAUUUAUGAUUAUGAAAAUACCAAACUCCACCUGUAAUUGAGCCCAUGGACUAACUCCAUGCUUGAAUUGAUUAAAGGAUGUACCUUUCAUCUUGAGUUGCCCCAUACAAGCAAUGGCCUUCACAGAAGUAUUUCUUCUCUGAGUACACUGGCAAGCUGACAGCAAACAGUGUCAUCAUGGAAAUACUGCAUACCAAGCCUCCAGCUGUGACACUGGAUGGCUUAAGACAGAGCAAAGCAUUUACAGUA